CCUACGGGAGGCAGCAGUGGGGAAUCUUGCGCAAUGGGCGAAAGCCUGACGCAGCCAUGCCGCGUGAAUGAUGAAGGUCUUAGGAUUGUAAAAUUCUUUCACCGGGGACGAUAAUGACGGUACCCGGAGAAGAAGCCCCGGCUAACUUCGUGCCAGCAGCCGCGGUAAUACGAAGGGGGCUAGCGUUGCUCGGAAUUACUGGGCGUAAAGGGAGCGUAGGCGGAUAGUUUAGUCAGAGGUGAAAGCCCAGGGCUCAACCUUGGAAUUGCCUUUGAUACUGGCUAUCUUGAGUUUGGGAGAGGUGAGUGGAACUCCGAGUGUAGAGGUGAAAUUCGUAGAUAUUCGGAAGAACACCAGUGGCGAAGGCGACUCACUGGCCCAAUACUGACGCUGAGGCUCGAAAGCGUGGGGAGCAAACAGGAUUAGAUACCCUGGUAGUCCACGCCGUAAACGAUGAGUGCUAGUUGUCGGCAUGCAUGCAUGUCGGUGACGCAGCUACGCAUAAGACACUCCGCCGUCGGGAGGUACGGUCGGCGAGAAUUAAACUUAACGAAAGGAAAGUUAGACGGCGUGAGACGUGCCGAACGGACGACGACGAGGGAGGUAGG
rnacentral:rRNA from 1 species